UGACCUACGGGGGGCAGCAGUGGGGAAUUUUGGACAAUGGGCGCAAGCCUGAUCCAGCCAUGCCGCGUGAGUGAAGAAGGCCUUCGGGUUGUAAAGCUCUUUCGGCUGGGAAGAAAUCGCAUCUCCUAAUACGGGGUGUGGAUGACGGUACCAGCAUAAGAAGCACCGGCUAACUACGUGCCAGCAGCCGCGGUAAUACGUAGGGUGCGAGCGUUAAUCGGAAUUACUGGGCGUAAAGCGUGCGCAGGCGGGUUCGUAAGACAGGGGUGAAAUCCCCGGGCUCAACCUGGGAACGGCCUUUGGGACUGCGAGGCUAGAGUAUGGCAGAGGGGGGUGGAAUUCCACGUGUAGCAGUGAAAUGCGUAGAGAUGUGGAGGAACACCGAUGGCGAAGGCAGCCCCCUGGGCCAAUACUGACGCUCAUGCACGAAAGCGUGGGGAGCAAACAGGAUUAGAUACCCUGGUAGUCCCC
rnacentral:rRNA from 1 species